rnacentral:misc_RNA from 1 species
GGACAGGACACCCCAGUUCGGCAGCUCCUUCAAGGCCAAAUCGGACUUUGUGACCAAACCAAUUUCCGAGCAAGAAUGGGAAGGAAUCUGGAAAUUCCUUAUAGAAGCAACUGAUGAACCCUUGACUAUGAUAAUGGAACCCCUAGGCGGAAAGAUGAGCGAGAUUUCAGAGUCUGCAAUACCUUUCCCUUACAGGAAGGGGUACCUCUAUGACAUCCAGUAUUUCUUGAGGUGGUUCGAGAAAGAAGCUGAGGUAACUGAGAAGCAUCUUGAAUGGAUGAGGGAAAUGUACAGGUACAUGACUCCUUAU